UUUGGAGGAGUUUGAUCCUGGCUCAGGACGAACGCUGGCGGCGUGCCUAAUACAUGCAAGUCGAGCGAGCUUGCCUAGAUGAAUUUGGUGCUUGCACCAAAUGAAACUAGAUACAAGCGAGCGGCGGACGGGUGAGUAACACGUGGGUAACCUGCCCAAGAGACUGGGAUAACACCUGGAAACAGAUGCUAAUACCGGAUAACAACACUAGACGCAUGUCUAGAGUUUAAAAGAUGGUUCUGCUAUCACUCUUGGAUGGACCUGCGGUGCAUUAGCUAGUUGGUAAGGUAACGGCUUACCAAGGCAAUGAUGCAUAGCCGAGUUGAGAGACUGAUCGGCCACAUUGGGACUGAGACACGGCCCAAACUCCUACGGGAGGCAGCAGUAGGGAAUCUUCCACAAUGGACGCAAGUCUGAUGGAGCAACGCCGCGUGAGUGAAGAAGGGUUUCGGCUCGUAAAGCUCUGUUGGUAGUGAAGAAAGAUAGAGGUAGUAACUGGCCUUUAUUUGACGGUAAUUACUAAAA
rnacentral:rRNA from 1 species